CCUACGGGAGGCAGCAGUCGAGAAUCAUUCACAAUGGGGGAAACCCUGAUGGUGCGACGCCGCGUGGGGGAAUGAAGGUCUUCGGAUUGUAAACCCCUGUCAUGUGGGAGCAAAUUAAAAAGAUAGUACCACAAGAGGAAGAGACGGCUAACUCUGUGCCAGCAGCCGCGGUAAUACAGAGGUCUCAAGCGUUGUUCGGAAUCACUGGGCGUAAAGCGUGCGUAGGCUGUUUCGUAAGUCGUGUGUGAACGGCGCGGGAUCAACCCGCGGACGGCCCAUGAUACUGGGAGACUAGAGUUAUGGAGAGGGAAGCGGAAUUCGCGGUGGAGAAGGGAAAUGCGUAGAUAUGGAGAGGAACAC
rnacentral:rRNA from 1 species